UACGUAGGGUGCAAGCGUUGCCCGGAUUUAUUGGGCGUAAAGGGCGCGUAGGCGGCUCGGCACGUCCGUUGUGAAAUCGCCCGGCUCAACUGGGCGGGUCAGCGGAUACGGCCGAGCUUGAGCAAGCUAGGGGGCAAUGGAAUUCCUGGUGUAGCGGUGAAAUGCGCAGAUAUCAGGAGGAACACCGGUGGCGAAGGCGGGUCUCUGGGCCGUAACUGACGCUGAGGAGCGAAAGCGUGGGGAGCGAACAGG
rnacentral:rRNA from 1 species